UUCACAAAAAAAAAACGUGUUUUACGCUCUUCCAAAAAUUUUUUCACAUUUUUUCGCAUCUUUGGACGACAAUCGUUCAAAAGGAGAGCGUUUGGAAAAAGGAGUGGGAAGAAAAAUAACCGGAGUUUCAUCGACGAAAAUAUUCAUCGUCGAAAAUUUUUGGCAACGAAAUGGUUCCAAAUCGGAGACGUUCCUUUGCCUGUUGGAAAACGAAAACCGAGCACCGAUCGCGCGAAUUUUUCCGCUCCGUUUCCAUUUUCAAAGGCUGGUUCGAGUCGCGCGGUGCCGAAUUUCGAAAAAAUAGUCUUUGAAAGGUUUAAUUUUUAUAAAACGAUAUAUCCGCCUCGCAAUGGAUCCACUUCAGAAUCUAAUUUCUGAAUAGUGGAUGGAAAGAAGGGGACGCGUUGGCCGAUUUCACUGAAAAAGAAAAGGAAUUUUGGCCCAAGUUUACACGGGGAAAUCGAUCGACUGGUGGUGUUUCUUGCUAUCGAAUUGCAACUAUGUCAAAGUGAAACAAGUUUCGAGAUGUUGCUUUGUGCGUGGAUAGUUUUGCAAGUGUGAAACAAAAUUUAUCGUUUCCUCUUUGUGAUCCAUUUGAAGAAUUUCGAACGAUUUUUAUUCGUAUUUCGUGAGUAUUUAUAUGUAAAUAUAUCUUUCUCGUGAUUUACAAAAAUAAUAUGGAAAUAUGGAAACCUUUGAUAAGAGAGGUAGAAAAUUAGUUGCAUAAAUAAAAUCGGUUGUAUACAAUAAUUUAAUAUUAUAAGCUAAUUGCAACGAUAAUAUUAUCGCGUGUAAUAUAUAUUUUUAUCGUCAAAUCGCCGAGAGAAACGGAAGAAUAUUAAAUCCGACACGAAAAAUUAUUGACAGAUUUCUCGAAUAAAAUUUAAUGUCGAAUAUGGAAACGAUGCAUUAUAAUUAAUACACGAUUAUCGCGUGAUCACUAUGAAUAUAAUAUAUCGUGCGUGUAAUUAAAGUAUCGAUUAUACAAUUAUCCAUCCUAUCCAUCCACCAUGAUAAUUGUUAACGCGAGCAGAAUUUCGCGAGAGGCGGAAGUUUCGCGGUGACAGGUGAAACAAUUGCACCAUUUCUUCUCCCCCUUAUGAUACUCGAAAAUAAUAGUAUCCUGGACGCUUCAGAGAACGUUCCAAGACGACGUUUCCACUUGAAACACUUAGCCAGGGUAUACUUGUAGCCGGCUUUUAAUGAUGCUGUAAGGAGGUCAGUGGACCAUGCUCAUUGAAUGAAGUACGUGGUCACGUGCGGUGACAACGCGUAUUUUCCUUUUUUUUUUUUUUUUUUUUUUUUGUCAAAAGAACCAACGUUUUUAUCAGGUUGAAACUCGUUGACAUAAUGCUACUUAAUUAACAUUCGUCCUUUUUAAUUCGAUGAUACACAGUUGGGAGAUGAAAUGAGAGAUUUUAAAGAGGAAGAAGAGGUAAGGUGCAUAGCAGGUUCGUUUCAUUUAUCUUGCACAGUUUUUUGACGAGUUCAAAGACUCCGAGAGACGAUUAAUUAAGUAAAUUAAAUAUUUAAUUCUUAUGUCAAUAACGAGUGCCCUUUUUCCCUUGAGAGAAAAUUUAAAAGUCUUGUCUUUUUAUCGAAAAACUUUUCAAAUUCAAGUCGAAUCGAAUGAUUGAUCAAAAUAAUUUGAUGCGUAUUGAUUGAAUAAAUAAGCUCGAUUUAGCUCGAGCAAAAGAUUUAGGAGAACAAUAAAAUUUUAAAUCUUUAGCAUAUUUAUUAGUGAGAUAGUUAUAAGUAAAAUAAAUUUUUUCCAAAAAUGAACUUACCUAUCGUAUAAUUUACCUUAAAACUCGAUAAAAUCUUAUAAAAAGUACAAAAAAUUUGAACCGUUUUAACUCUGCAGAUAGUUACUUCCGGUUAAUGAAUGAACGAUAAUUAAAAGCACGGAAGCUUGCCCUUUAAAACGCUUUUCCAUUCAUCCCGACUUCCUCUUCCCGAGAUAUGAUCGUGUAAAAAAAAAAAAAGCUAAUCAUUCAUCUUUAAUCCGCGUAAAUCCUAUCGAAAUUAGAAAAAAUUUGAACCGUUAUAACUCCGAAGAUAAUGACUUCCGGUCAAUGGAUGAAAGCUCGUUAGAAGCUCCGAUCCUUGCCCUUUAAAACGCAUUUUUACUCGUCCCGAUACGACUUCCGGUUCCCGAGAUAUUAUCCUCUAAAGAAAAAGUAAUUUUAAAUCAUUUAUCUUUAAUCCGAUUAAAUUCUAUCGAAAUUAGAAAAAAUUUGAACCGCUAUAACUCCGAAGAUAAUGACUUCCGGUCAAUGGAUGAAAGCUCGUUAGAAGCGGGGAACCUUCCCCUUUAAAACGCUUUUUCGUUCAUCCCGAUACGACUUCCGGUUCCCGAGAUAUCGUCGCGCAAAGAAAAAGUUAAUUUUUGAUCAGUCAUUUUAAUCAUUAAAAUUGGUGAAAUUUUGAA